rnacentral:rRNA from 1 species
CAGUAGCCGCGGUAAUACGUAGGGGGCAAGCGUUGUCCGGAAUUAUUGGGCGUAAAGCGCGCGCAGGCGGUUUUUUAAGUCUGGUGUCUAAGUGCGGGGCUCAACCCCGUGACGCACUGGAAACUGGGAGACUUGAGUGCAGAAGAGGAGAGCGGAAUUCCACGUGUAGCGGUGAAAUGCGUAGAGAUGUGGAGGAACACCAGUGGCGAAGGCGGCUCUCUGGACUGUAACUGACGCUGAGGCGCGAAAGCGUGGGGAGCAAACAGGAUUAGAUACCCCGGUAGUCCCUGUCUCUUAUACA